AUUGAACGCUGGCGGCAGGCCUAACACAUGCAAGUCGAACGGUAACAGGAAGAAGCUUGCUUCUUUGCUGACGAGUGGCGGACGGGUGAGUAAUGUCUGGGAAACUGCCUGAUGGAGGGGGAUAACUACUGGAAACGGUAGCUCAUACCGCAUAACGUCGCAAGACCAAAGAGGGGGACCUUUGGGCCCCUUGCCAUCGGAAGUGCCCAGAUGGGAUUAGCUAGUAGGUGGGGUAACGGCUCACCUAGGCGACGAUCCCUAGCUGGUCUGAGAGGAUGAGCAGCCACACUGGAACUGAGACACGGUCCAGACUCCUACGGGAGGCAGCAGUGGGGAAUAUUGGACAAUGGGCGCAAGCCUGAUGCAGCCAUGCCGCGUGUAUGAAGAAGGCCUUCGGGUUGUAAAGUACUUUCAGCGGGGAGGAAGAGAGUAAGGUUAAUACCUUUGCUCAUUGACGUUACCCGAAGAAGAAGCACCGGCUAACUCCGUG
rnacentral:rRNA from 1 species